rnacentral:tRNA from 1 species
CAAAUUAGAGCUUGAUAAAGUAUUUCAUUUACAUUGAAAAGAUAUUAUUUACUUAAUUAAUUUGA